rnacentral:rRNA from 1 species
GUGGGGAAUAUUGGACAAUGGGCGAAAGCCUGAUCCAGCCAUGCCGCGUGUGUGAAGAAGGUCUUCGGAUUGUAAAGCACUUUAAGUUGGGAGGAAGGGCAGUAAGUUAAUACCUUGCUGUUUUGACGUUACCGACAGAAUAAGCACCGGCUAACUUCGUGCCAGCAGCCGCGGUAAUACGAAGGGUGCAAGCGUUAAUCGGAAUUACUGGGCGUAAAGCGCGCGUAGGUGGUUUUGUAAGUUGGAGGUGAAAUCCCCGGGCUCAACCUGGGAACUGCCUCCAAAACUGCAUGACUAGAGUACGGUAGAGGGUAGUGGAAUUUCCGGUGUAGCGGUGAAAUGCGUAGAUAUAGGAAGGAACACCAGUGGCGAAGGCGACUACCUGGACUGAUACUGACACUGAGGUGCGAAAGCGUGGGGAGCAAACAGGAUUAGAUACCCCAGUAGUCC